rnacentral:rRNA from 1 species
GAUGAACGCUGGCGGCGUGCCUAAUACAUGCAAGUCGAGCGAACGGACGAGAAGCUUGCUUUUCUGAUGUUAGCGGCGGACGGGUGAGUAACACGUGGAUAACCUACCUAUAAGACUGGGAUAACUUCGGGAAACCGGAGCUAAUACCGGAUAAUAUUUUGAACCGCAUGGUUCAAAAGUGAAAGACGGUCUUGCUGUCACUUAUAGAUGGAUCCGCGCUGCAUUAGCUAGUUGGUAAGGUAACGGCUUACCAAGGCAACGAUGCAUAGCCGACCUGAAAGGGUGAUCGGCCACACUGGAACUGAGACACGGUCCAGACUCCUACGGGAGGCAGCAGUAGGGAAUCUUCCGCAAUGGGCGAAAGCCUGACGGAGCAACGCCGCGUGAGUGAAGAAGGUCUUCGGAUCGUAAAACUCUGUUAUUAGGGAAGAACAUAUGUGUAAGUAACUGUGCACAUCUUGACGGUACCUAAUCAGAAAGCCACGGCUAACUACGUG